CUCAGUCCUACCCACUAUAAACCUAAAUACCAUGGUAAGCUAUUACAGCAUUGGGAACAGAUGGUGAAGUUUUCCAUAAAAGAGAAAGGGAAACAGACCUGUCUGAAGCAAGAAAGCCUGUGUGGAUGAAUAUUGCUUCCAGGAGUCACAUAAUUACAUCUAAAAUCAUAGAAUGUUAGAGCUGGAGGAAUCUUUAGAGUUUGCCCAAGGUCCUUCACCAGCAUUUUACAGAAGAUUCUUCGAUUUAACUGCUCUUAAUUACAUCCCGUUGCACUGGCCCCAUCAAGUUGCUUUAAACAGCCCUUCUAGUCAACAGAGCUGCAGAGAAAAACCUUGGUUGGUUCAGGUCACUAGGAUGCAGAGCUGUCACACUUCAUUUGUGAGAACACUCCAGAGCUUCCUCCAGCUGCUGAUUCCAAACCAGCUUCACACUCCUUCUGAAUCCAAGGCAAAUAAACAAACUAUGCAAAGAAAUCAAACAUGACUUCUUCUUGGUCCUAUAAGAAGAUUGUUCAUGCUAUGCUUGUUAGAAGAGUUACAUGUAUACCUAUGAUCUUCGAAGACUAAAGAAAAUAUCAAGGAAACGUAUUUCAAUAAUGAUAUGGUCAAGACAUAGAGUUUCUUAUAUUAAUAAUACAAAGUUCACUUUCUGAAAAAAUGCACAUAUUGUUUAAGAUCGUCACAUAGUUUAUAUAUUUUAAUCGCUCCAUAAUUACGGAAUUAUUUUAAAUAAUAGCAAUAAUUAUAAUUGUAGUAUUUAAUGUCAAUAUUUCUACAAAUUAUAUUUAAGUAAAUAAGUAUAUUGUGAAAGGAGAGGGAUUCAGGAUCAGGGGUAUGUUCAAAAAUCUAUUUGUUUUUGUCAUUGUUGAAUAAAAAUCUCCCAUCUCAAAAUCUUUGUAAAAGGAUAUCCAUGGAAAAAAGAACCUAUUACUUUAUUCUCCAGUCAAAAUUAAAACUGGUUCACAAUGGCCACAUCUUCUAUUUAUACAUAAAACACAGCUUUUAACAUAGACUAAUUUUUGUCUGUUAAAAAUGAAAUUGAGAUUCAGUAAAGAUGGAUUCAAAUUCAA
rnacentral:lncRNA from 1 species